CUACAACAUGAUUGGUAC
rnacentral:snRNA from 1 species